UUCCGAGUUGUUGGUUCAUGACUCGAAGCUAAGAAGUGGCGUGUACACCAUCACUUCUCCUCUCACUCACACAAAGAUACAUGUGUACUGUGACAUGGACACUGAUGGAGGAGGCUGGACGAUAUUUCAAAGACGUUUCAACGGAAGUGUUGAUUUUUACAGAAACUUUAGUGACUAUGAAAACGGAUUCGGCAAUGUGGCUGGUGAAUAGUGGCUAGGACUUAAAUACAUCUACGAAAUAACAUCAAACGGUUCCUUUCAACUUCGCG